rnacentral:rRNA from 1 species
GACGAACGCUGGCGGCGUGCUUAACACAUGCAAGUCGAACGAUGAAGCCGGAGCUUGCUCUGGUGAAUUAGUGGCGAACGGGUGAGUAACACGUGAGUAACCUGCCCUUGACUCUGGGAUAACUGCGGGAAACUGUAGCUAAUACCGGAUACGACCCUCGGAGGCAUCUCCUGGGGGUGGAAAGAAUUUCGGUCAAGGAUGGACUCGCGGCCUAUCAGGUAGUUGGUGAGGUAAAGGCUCACCAAGGCGACGACGGGUAGCCGGCCUGAGAGGGUGACCGGCCACACUGGGACUGAGACACGGCGCAGACUCCUACGGGAGGCAGCAGUGGGGAAUAUUGCACACUGGGCGCAAGCCUGAUGCAGCAACGCCGCGUGAGGGAUGACGGCCUUCGGGUUGUAAACCUCUUUUAGCAGGGAAGAAGCGAAAGUGACGGUACCUGCAGAAAAAGCACCGGCUAACUACGUGCCAGCCGCCGCGGUAA